GUGUGGCAUCUUUCUGAACUCCCCCGACCGUCCGAUCUUCCAUAAUACCAUCUGGACUUCUCCGAUAAUGAGCUCCUCCAUUCAUCCACCGGGCUGCUCCAAACGCUUUCUGAGCUUCACUAUCAGCCUAUUUUCUACAGUGAUCGACUAUUCUCCAAAUCUCUUCCAGACUUUUUCCAACCACGAACGAUCUUACUCCAAACUUUUUUCGGACUUCGUCAAUGUCCGAGCUUCUCCAACAGUAGGACUUCUACAGUAACCAGACUCCAUCUAAAUUUCUACGGUGGUCGAUCACCUUUCAAAUUUCAUCCGAGCUUCCACAAGAGCUGGAUCCCAGCCGAACUUCUACAGUAGAUGGAUUCCAGACAAAUUUUUACAACGGAUGGGCUUCACCGGUCAGAUCUCUACUCCAAACUUCUAUCGCAAGCGGACUUCAUCCGAGCUCCUAUAAGAAUCAGACUCCGUCCAAACUUCUACAGCAGAUGGAUCACAAACGAACUUCUACGACGGAUAGGCUGCACCAGAUCUCUACCCCAAACUUCUUACGGACCUCAUCAACGACUGAGC
rnacentral:lncRNA from 1 species